rnacentral:sRNA from 1 species
CUCACACCUUGCACGAAGGUCCGAACUGGAUUGCCGAGACCACCUUUCGCACCGACGGGGAACAAAAAAAAGACAACAAGGCAAACAUUGCAAACAUUGCAUGUAGGAAGGAGCCGAGAUGGUCAAGCAUUAGCAUGCUCGUCAUCCGGCAAUAUAUGUACUGUACCUUGCGAGACGCCACGCACUACAGCAGCUCUCCUCCUACUCUCGGAGUGGUUGUUGGAGUUGCCUGAGCAGUUCAAAGAACAAAAAUUCAUUCAUUCGACGCGAAAAAGUUGGUCUGUCCACGGGAACUUGAAGAGCGGGAAGGACUGUCCAUAGGCGCGGCCCAUCUUCCGCGUUCAUUGAUGGUUUGGUAACGACAGAAAACUCUGAUACGCGACUUGGGAAUCGCUUGUCAAAACCAAACCUGGAGUCUGGAAGGGGAAAGAAACGUAUUCCCCCUCUCUACUCAAAAAUGGGCCAAGAAAGAAUCAAUCAUAAGAGGGAGAAAUCACCAAAACCGUCCCCAAGACGUUUGUUCGGUGCCGAUUUUCGGAGCUCUUCGUCAAAUCGCGCCAUCUUGGAAUCAGAUAACCCCUUGCCUUCCUAGCCUGGUUCUAAGCCAACCUGGUGAUCCUGAGAUAUUGCCGGCUGAGCCCUGGCCACCCCGAAAUACGCAGACCCACUCGGCCGGUACUGGGCCACAAUGCCAACGGGGAUGUUCGGCUGCAACUCAAGCUCUUCCCCCCUUUUAUGAUUCUGUCCUGAGAGGACUCGUGCAGGCGUUGUAUUUUUGUUUGUGAGUGGCUGCCACCUACCUAAUAUAGUCAGACGGAGAUUUGGAUUUUCUAGAGAUUCUCAUUUGGAACUAGGCCCGGAGGAGUGUUGGAGGCAUGCUGCUUGAUCACUCUAACUCACUGAGGCUUGGGUCAGGCUUGGGUGAGGCUAUUGGUCAGGCAAAAUCACCCAAGUGGGGUGAGAAGAUGUAACCUUCCGGCUAAACCUUCCCAGGUUUGGCUGGGCGCCAGCGCGACACAAUCCUGUUUCGCCCCCACGUGACAUCUCAUUUGCAGGCCGGGAAGGAGCCGCGAGGGAGGCAUAAGAAGCUAAUUCGCCCAAGAGCCGAUUCGAGGUUGUGGAACCUUAGCAAGAGAGAUCAUAAUUCUCAUCACACUUUGAGUCUGUGCUUCUGUAUUGCGGCAUGAUAAAUGUUUUAGAGGGUGUUUGUAUGAUCUUAUUAUUAAUCCAGUCAGUCAACAACUUACAUUUUCCACACAAACAUUUCCGGCACUUGUACCUGGGAUGUGUACAAAAUUAAGAGCAAGCUACAUCAUGUGAUUGGACAGUUCAUAAUGCUCUCACACCACCGCACAAACAGAUCUUUCUCUGUUUUCACACUGAUCCUGCAGGCAAGCAGUACAAACUCUCACUGUUCUGGAAUCUAAAGGAUCCAGUGAUGGCAGUGGAGCUACCAGUCUUCUGGCCCUGGGAUAACCUUAACAUCCUCUCUGCUCAUCUGGUACAGAUACGAGGGGGAGGGGUAUCUCCAAGAAGCUGAGUAUGCCAAUGCUCCGCCCUUCGCCUAUAUUGGUGAGGUAGACGAGCACGUAGCCAGAUGGUGGACUGCUGCCUUAGUCCCCAGCAAAGGUUAGAUGGCUAUCGUCUCUCGGCGGGAUGAGGGAGAGCACGAAGGAGCAGAGCGUGACAUUAUAUCUUGAUAAUGCUCCUUUGAGGUGGACAAUCUGACAUUGGAUUGUCCUCUGGAUUUCAAUAUUGUUGCGCCAGCGCAGAUGUUGGGUGUCUGGUGAGCAGGGCGACCCAGAACCGGACCUUGGGUCUCUUCCCGUUCGGCUCUCCGGUCCUUUCAUCAUCACGCACAUUAUCAACUACGUCCUCGUCUAUCGUGUCCGUCGAAGAAUCCCUACAUAGGGCCAGAGGGAUAUGGGCCAAGGCGGACAGCCGCGCGGAAAUGUCUUUUGGGCGCAAAUGAAUGAAUGAUUAGAUUAGCGAAAUGGGAUGGCGGGCGAAAUUGGGACGUUGUGGCACAUCCAAUGAAAUCAUGUCGGCAUCCGUGGCCACGAUUUCCGGGCUAGAAUGCUAUACGGCACGCUGAGGGGGCGACUAAAUGGACAAACCCUGGAUAUGGGAUAUCUCCCCAAUCGUGGUACUUUUAUCACGCCAGUGGAUUUGCUUAACUAUCAGCGAAGUAAACUCGGCCAAGAAUCCUAAUUUGGAUCCCUUCUUCGGAUCCCUUGAAUAAUUCGUCCCAGUAUUGCACUUUUAUUAUUCAUGAUACCGCUCCUUGGCCACUGAUCGACCCGAAGCUGCCAAUUAUGAAUAACUACAUAAUUAAAUAGAGAGAGAAAAAAACGUGAC